rnacentral:tRNA from 1 species
GCGGUCGUGUCCGAGUGGUUAAGGAGACCGACUAGAAAUCGGUUGGGAGUUCCCGCGCAGGUUCAAAUCCUGUCGACCGCG